AAAGUGGCGAACGGCUGAGUAACACGUGGGCAACCUGCCCCUCGCACCGGGACAGCCUCGGGAAACCGUGGUUAAUACCGGAUACUCCGCACCCACCGCAUGGUGGGGGCGGGAAAGCCCAGACGGCGAGGGAUGGGCCCGCGGCCUGUUAGCUAGUUGGUGGGGCAACGGCCCACCAAGGCAAUGAUGGGUAGCCGGGUUGAGAGACCGACCGGCCAGAUUGGGACUGAGACACGGCCCAGACUCC
rnacentral:rRNA from 1 species